rnacentral:lncRNA from 1 species
UUGCAAGUUCAAACGAAAAAUACUGGAAUUUGCCAGAACCACGGAGCAGAGUUCGAACAGAGUUUCAGAAAUGCAAAUCCCUGCAGGAUCCGGGAAACACCGUCCGCAGUCACCUUCAGGAAUAUGGUAUCCGGAAGGCCCUGGUGCAAUCCGCACUGAAGAGAUGUAACCCAGUGACAAUACGCUGGAGCCAGAGUGAAGACUUCGUCGGCAUCUGGAGUUUUAGAAUCUAUCAGCAAUAUUUCCGGAAAAAAACCAGGUUGUUCCGGAUCGUGAAAGGAAUUUGCCUUCAGGAGAAUGAAUUUUACUCGGACAAAGUAAUUGCUUUGUGGUUAUUUUGUGAAAAAUUGGAUUUUGAGCAAUUUUGUGAAGAAAGUUUUAAUGUACAAUUGAUUGAUUAUUUGUGACGAGAGCCUGUUAGAUUACAACUUUUUAUCAGGUUAAGGUUAAUGCAUAAUAAAGAUUUUCAACAACA